rnacentral:misc_RNA from 1 species
CUCCUUCUUCUUCUUCUUCUUCUACUCUCCGUCACAGUUCCAUUAUUGGCACCCGUCUUCCUUCCAUCUUCUUGCGCAACCCCACUAUCCGCAUUCGCUCCACAACCCCUUCAAUUAAAGCCUUCUCUGCACCCGUUCCUUCACCUUUAACCCAAGAUGAACUUAAGAAACUAGCAGCCGAUAAGGCCGUUGAGUAUGUCAAAAGUGGAAUGGUCCUUGGUUUAGGCACUGGGUCAACAGCAGCUUUCGUUGUCGCUAAAUUGGGUGAGCUUCUUUCAUCGGGCCAACUCACGAACAUUGUAGGAGUUCCCACUUCAAAGCGUACUGAAGAACAAGCUUUGUCGCUUAACAUCCCGUUAUCUACACUUGACGACCACCCACAUAUUGAUCUUGCUAUUGAUGGUGCUGAUGAGGUCGACCCGAAUCUCGACCUAGUCAAGGGUCGAGGAGGAGCUCUUUUAAGGGAGAAGAUGGUGGAGGCCGCGUCUGAUAAGUUUGUUGUUGUGGUCGAUGAUUCGAAGCUUGUUUCGGGUCUUGGUGGAUCCGGGUUGGCUAUGCCGGUUGAGGUCGUGCAGUUUUGUUGGAAGUACAAUUUGGUUAGGUUACAGGAAUUGUUUAAGGAAGAGGGUGUUGAUGCAAAGUUGAGAUUGGAUGGUAAUGGGAAGCCAUAUGUGACCGAUAACUCGAAUUAUAUUGUGGAUUUGUAUUUCAAGACUCCUAUUAGGGAUUCUGCUGCUGCUGGGAAGGAGAUUGCGUCUUUCGAAGGGGUGGUGGAGCAUGGAUUGUUCUUGGAUAUGACCACUGCUGUUAUCAUUGCUGGGAAGGAAGGUGUCAGUGUCAAGAGCAAGUGAAAUAUUCACCAAUUUUAGCUCCCAACUGGUGAGGUCUGAACAACUUUAACUUCUGUUUUGAGUGGAAUUUUUAGACUUCAUUUUCGUAUCGAGGAAAUAGGAGUUGAUUGUUGUAACAUUAAUAAGUUUUUGCAUUUUUUUUGGAGAUGUUUAGCAAUAAUACUCCCGUCUGAAUGUAAUUUGUAUAUUAG